rnacentral:rRNA from 1 species
UCCUACGGGAGGCAGCAGUGGGGAAUAUUGGACAAUGGGGGCAACCCUGAUCCAGCCAUGCCGCGUGUGUGAAGAAGGCCCUCGGGUUGUAAAGCACUUUCAGCGAGGAAGAACGCCUAGCGGUUAAUACCCGCUAGGAAAGACAUCACUCGCAGAAGAAGCACCGGCUAACUCCGUGCCAGCAGCCGCGGUAAUACGGAGGGUGCAAGCGUUAAUCGGAAUUACUGGGCGUAAAGCGCGCGUAGGUGGCUUGAUAAGCCGGUUGUGAAAGCCCCGGGCUCAACCUGGGAACGGCAUCCGGAACUGUCAAGCUAGAGUGCAGGAGAGGAAGGUAGAAUUCCCGGUGUAGCGGUGAAAUGCGUAGAGAUCGGGAGGAAUACCAGUGGCGAAGGCGGCCUUCUGGACUGACGCUGACACUGAGGUGCGAAAGCGUGGGUAGCAAACAGGAUUAGAUACCCUGGUAGUCCACGCCGUAAACGAUGUCGACCAGCCGUUGGGUGCCUAGCGCACUUUGUGGCGAAGUUAACGCGAUAAGUCGACCGCCUGGGGAGUACGGCCGCAAGGUUAAAACUCAAAUGAAUUGACGG